GAUGAACGCUGGCGGCGUGCCUAAUACAUGCAAGUCGAGCGGAAAGGCCCUUCGGGGUACUCGAGCGGCGGACGGGUGAGUAACGCGUAAGAAUGUACCCCAAAGUGAGGAAUAACUGCUCGAAAGAGUAGCUAAUGCCGCUUGUGCUCUUCGGAGGAAAGCUUUAUGCGCUUCGGGAACAGCUUGCGUCUGAUUAGCUAGUUGGUAAGGUAACGGCUUACCAAGGCGACGAUCAGUAGCUGGUCUGGGAGGAUGAUCAGCCACACUGGGACUGAGACGCGGCCCAGACUCCUACGGGAGGCAGCAGUAGGGAAUUUUCCACAAUGGACGAGAGUCUGAUGGAGCAACGCCGCGUGCUGGAUGAAGGCCUUCGGGUCGUAAACAGCUUUUGUCUGUGACGAAUAUGACGGUAGCAGACGAAUAAGGAUCAGCUAACUACGUGCCAGCCGCCGCGGUAA
rnacentral:rRNA from 1 species